CAUGGGACAGCGAUGUAUAUACAGGAUGAUUCCACUAAGUGCUUACCCAAUUUGUUUGGUAAAAUUUUGUAUGUAUUCAAAUUAUCAUUUCUGAAAACCCGUUACUGAGAUAUUCCACUUUUAAGUAUGAGUAGGGGGAGAGUAGUGGAGUAUUAUUUGUAUUUAUAAGUGCUCCAUUACUCUUUCUCUACCUAAAAUUAAAAGUGGAAUCUAUCGUUAACGGGUUGACAGAAAUUGAACACCAACAUUUAUUUAAUAUGAUACUCCAUAUUAUAUUUAUGAAAUUUCUAUUAUAGGUUCUCAUUUGAAAAAAACCAAAGUCGGUUUCACCACAGGAUACUCCUUAAAUGAUGUGAAAAAUUUAAGUAUUCGUAAAUAUCGACUUUAACUACACUUAAAAAUUCCAAAAAUGAGAAUUUGGAUAUUUUUUCAACGCAGAACAAUUAGAUUCAAGACGUUUAAAACAAGACAUUCUGUGUACGUGCAAAUAUUUAUAUAUUUAUUAUUAUUGAGUAGUUAUAUAGUUCGUGUUUGUUAUA